UAAGGAAUAUUCCGCAAUGGGCGAAAGCCUGACGGAGCGACACCGCGUGGAGGAUGAAGGCAUCUUUGUUGUAAACUCCUUUUCUGGGGGAAUAAUUGAUGAAGGUACCCCAGGAAUAAGCACCGGCUAACUACGUGCCAGCAGCCGCGGUAAUACGUAGGGUGCAAGCGUUAUCCGGAAUCAUUGGGCGUAAAGCGUUCGUAGGUGGUUUGGAAAGUUUGCGGUUAAAACUGGCCGCUCAACGGUCAAAUUGUCGCAAAAACUACCAAACUGGAGGAUGGCAGAGGCAACUGGAAUUCCACAUGUAGGGGUAAAAUCCGUUGAUAUGUGGAGGAACACCAAAAGCGAAGGCAGGUUGCUGGGCCAUUCCUGACACUCAAGAACGAAAGCGUGGGUAGCAAACAGG
rnacentral:rRNA from 1 species